rnacentral:rRNA from 1 species
AGGUCACUGCUAUCGGUGUUCGAUUAAGCCAUGCGAGUCGUGAGGGGUAAAGCCCUCGGCGGAGUGCUCAGUAACACGUGGACAACCUACCCAAGAGUCAGGGAUAACCCCGGGAAACUGGGGAUAAUACCUGAUAGGCCAUGACAUCUGGAAUCGAGUUGUGGUUUAAACGUAAGGCUCUUGGAUGGGUCUGCGGCGGAUUAGGUUGUUGCCGGUGUAACGUACCAGCAAGCCUGUAAUCCGUACGGGUUGUGGGAGCAAGAGCCCGGAGAUGGAUUCUGAGACACGAAUCCAGGCCCUACGGGGCGCAGCAGGCGCGAAAACUCUACAAUGCAGGCAACUGCGAUAGGGGAACAUCGAGUGGCAUCCACCAUGGACGUCUGUCCAAUCGUCUAAAAAACGAUUGUCAGCAAGGGCCGGGCAAGACCGGUGCCAGCCGCCGCGGUAAUACCGGCGGCUCGAGUGGUGGCCGAUAUUAUUGAGUCUAAAGGGUCCGUAGCCGGCUUUGCAAGUCCUAUGGGAAAUCCAGCGGCUUAACCGUUGGGCUUUCAUGGGAUACUACAUUGCUUGGGACUGGGAGAGGUAGGAGGUACUCAGGGGGUAGGGGUGAAAUCCUGUAAUCCUUUGGGGACCACCGGUGGCGAAGGCGUCCUACCAGAACAGGUCCGACGGUGAGGGACGAAAGCUAGGGGCACGAACCGGAUUAGAUACCCGGGUAGUCCUAGCCGUAAACGAUGCUCGCUAGGUGUCACGGCAGUCGUGAAUUGUCGUGGUGCCGUAGGGAAGCCGUGAAGCGAGCCACUUGGGAAGUACGACCGCAAGGUUGAAACUUAA